rnacentral:rRNA from 1 species
CGGACAGCAAUAUAGAAGGUCAGGCUGAAGACCUUACCCGAUUAGCUGAGAGGUGGUGCAUGGCCGUCGUCAGUUCGUACUGUGAAGCAUCCUGUUAAGUCAGGCAACGAGCGAGACCCACGUCCACAGUUGCCAGCAUACCCUCCGGGGUGAUGGGUACACUGUGGAGACCGCCGCUGCUAAAGCGGAGGAAGGAGUGGGCAACGGUAGGUCAGUAUGCCCCGAAUCUCCCGGGCUACACGCGGGCUACAAUGGUUGGUACAAUGGGCAUCUACCCCGAAAGGGGAAGGAAAUCUCUUAAAGCCAAUCGUAGUUCGGAUUGAGGGCUGCAACUCGCCCUCAUGAAGCUGGAAUCCGUAGUAAUCGCGUUUCAACAGAACGCGGUGAAUACGUCCCUGCUCCUU